CCUACGGGUGGCUGCAGUGGGGAAUAUUGGGCAAUGGGCGCAAGCCUGACCCAGCAACGCCGCGUGAAGGAAGACGGCUCUCGGGUUUUAAACUUCUUUUCUGAGGGACGAAGAAAGUGACGGUACCUCAGGAAUAAGCCACGGCUAACUACGUGCCAUCAGCCGCGGGAAUACGUAGGUGGCAAGCGUUAUCCGGAUUUAUUGGGUGUAAAGGGUGUGUAGGCGGGAAAGCAAGUCAGAUGUGAAAACUCAGGGCUCAACCCUGAGCCUGCAUUUGAAACUGUUUUUCUUGAGUGCUGGAGAGGCAAUCGGAAUUCCGUGUGUAGCGGUGAAAUGCGUAGAUAUACGGAGGAACACCAGUGGCGAAGGCGGAUUGCUGGACAGUAACUGACGCUGAGGCGCGAAAGCGUGGGGAGCAAACAGGAUUAGAUACCCUUGUAGUC
rnacentral:rRNA from 1 species